rnacentral:rRNA from 1 species
UACGGAGGGGGCUAGCGUUGUUCGGAAUUACUGGGCGUAAAGCGUACGUAGGCGGCUUUGUAAGUCAGAGGUGAAAGCCCACGACUCAAUCGUGGAACUGCCUUUGAGACUGCUUCGCUUGAAGAUGGGAGAGGUUAGUGGAAUUCCGAGUGUAGAGGUGAAAUUCGUAGAUAUUCGGAAGAACACCAGUGGCGAAGGCGGCUAACUGGACCAUUCUUGACGCUGAGGUACGAAAGCGUGGGGAGCAAACAGG